rnacentral:rRNA from 1 species
AGAUUGAACGCUGGCGGCAGGCCUAACACAUGCAAGUCGAGCGGUAGAGAGGUGCUUGCAUCUCUUGAGAGCGGCGGACGGGUGAGUAAUGCCUAGGAAUCUGCCUAGUGGUGGGGGAUAACGUUCGGAAACGGACGCUAAUACCGCAUACGUCCUACGGGAGAAAGCGGGGGACCUUCGGGCCUCGCGCCAUUAGAUGAGCCUAGGUCGGAUUAGCUAGUUGGUGAGGUAAUGGCUCACCAAGGCGACGAUCCGUAACUGGUCUGAGAGGAUGAUCAGUCACACUGGAACUGAGACACGGUCCAGACUCCUACGGGAGCAGCAGGUGGGGAAUA